UACGUAGGGUCCGAGCGUUGUCCGGAAUUACUGGGCGUAAAGAGCUCGUAGGUGGUUUGUCGCGUUGUCCGUGAAAACUCACAGCUCAACUGUGGGCGUGCGGGCGAUACGGGCAGACUGGAGUACUGCAGGGGAGACUGGAAUUCCUGGUGUAGCGGUGAAAUGCGCAGAUAUCAGGAAGAACACCCGUGGCGAAGGCGGCUCUCUGGGACGGUACUGACGCUGAGACGCGAAAGCGUGGGGGAGCGAACAGG
rnacentral:rRNA from 1 species